rnacentral:lncRNA from 1 species
CCUCCAACCAAAUAUUGGGCAUUUUCUCCACAAAUCCAUGUUUACAUGCAAAAUCUAAAUUGAUAAACUCAUCGUCAUACAUAUCCCCACCACGCUUAUCCAAUUCUAAAUCUAUGAUAUAAAUUGCAUGCUCACACCCCAAAUCCAAAACGGCACACACCCUUUGCAUCAGUUGGCUCAUCAUAUUUAUCUCUCUAGGCCAAUGCGUGUAGAAGAAGACGGCGGAAACGGAAGCGAACGAGUAAACGGAUGCAUAGGCCGAAAGCAUGAAGAAGAAGACGGCGAAGGCGAACGAGUAAACGGAUGCAUAGGCCGAAAGCGUGAAGAAGAAGACGGCGGAAUUGAAGGCGAACGAUUAAACGGAUGCAUCGUAAAAAGGCUUUUUAGUGGCUGAGGGUGAGACAGAGGAAAGGGACGGUGAUGGUGGUGGGUGGUUGCGGCGGACAAGAGGGAGAGAGAGACGGCUUUGUGAAAAAUAAAACUUAAGAAGCAAGUAAAUUAGGGUUCUGCUUUUUAUUAGUCACUCAAAUCCCUGACCUAUUGGUUGAAAGAUAA